AACGUGGCAGACACAAAAUAGAUCGGCUCCGGAACGAAUUGACAUCGCGAAUCGUUCAAUUGAUCAUGUUGUAUGUUUACAACUCCGCCGUUGUGCAUAGUAAUGCAUGUGCUUGAGAAGGAAUUCUGACAAUCUAUGAGGAAAUGGAGGAGGCUUGACAAUCCAUGAAGAGGAGACCUAAAACAAGCAUCAGAAUCAACAUAGCGACAUGGCUGAUAACUCCACUGUUGCAUGGACUCCAUCGAUCGGUGAGUUACCAAAGAAAUUGAUUAAUGAGAAAACGAAUUGAUGAAAAUCAGACGUAUCAGACGUA